GGUUUAUUUAUUCUACUCAGCAGAGUUUUCUGACUGUUGGGUAACUAAUUUUUUGAACUGAAAAAGAAUAAUUAUGAAUUCUCUUCCAUCCCUCCAGCUAACAGAAUUGUGCAUCUCUUUCUCUGCGGGUCCAGGGCAGUGUUGAAAUACCGUAAAUGUGGCAGGUUGAACUACACGUCUCUUCUGGUUUCUCCACCGAUCUAGCCAUGCCUAGAGUUUCUUCCUGUUACAGGGCCUAUGGCAGGCCUGGGGGUAGAUGUCCACAGCUAGGUGCUUCAAUUAUCACUGGUUUGGGCACCAAUGCAUCGUAAAGUGGGAUAUGCAGUUAAAUAAUACAUACUACUAAAUAAUAAAUGCACACGCAAGGUCUAAAAGUCCUUGCACUGUCAA